AUCCGCUUCGCUUAGCUUCUCCAAUCCACUCCCCAGAAAAAAAUAUAAUAAAAUAAAAAAUUGAACAGUCGCUGAAAAUUCUCUCUCACGUUCUUUUCUUGGAGUUUUUACGGACGGCGCAAGAUAAUUAGGGUUUCUUUCGAUUCGUCUUCGUUUGUGAAUCCGUUUUGAUUUGGGACUACGAAAAAGGGAAUUUUCGGUGCAGCUUGUGUCCUUCCUCGUUUUUUUUCUUAAAUUUUGUCGACUGAAUG